rnacentral:tRNA from 1 species
CCCGCCGUAGCUCAGCGGCAGAGCGCCCGGCUGUAGACCGGGUGGGCGGGGGUUCAAGUCCCCCCGGCGGGA